rnacentral:rRNA from 1 species
GGCGGACGGGUGAGUAAUGCUUGGGAACUUGCCUUUGCGAGGGGGAUAACAGUUGGAAACGACUGCUAAUACCGCAUAAUGUCUUCGGACCAAACGGGGCUUCGGCUCCGGCGCAAAGAGAGGCCCAAGUGAGAUUAGCUAGUUGGUAAGGUAACGGCUUACCAAGGCGACGAUCUCUAGCUGUUCUGAGAGGAAGAUCAGCCACACUGGGACUGAGACACGGCCCAGACUCCUACGGGAGGCAGCAGUGGGGAAUAUUGCACAAUGGGGGGAACCCUGAUGCAGCCAUGCCGCGUGUGUGAAGAAGGCCUUCGGGUUGUAAAGCACUUUCAGUUGUGAGGAAAAGUUAGUAGUUAAUACCUGCUAGCCGUGACGUUAACAACAGAAGAAGCACCGGCUAACUCCGUGCCAGCAGCCGCGGUAAUACGGAGGGUGCGAGCGUUAAUCGGAAUUACUGGGCGUAAAGCGCACGCAGGCGGUUUGUUAAGCUAGAUGUGAAAGCCCCGGGCUCAACCUGGGAUGGUCAUUUAGAACUGGCAGACUAGAGUCUUGGAGAGGGGAGUGGAAUUCCAGGUGUAGCGGUGAAAUGCGUAGAUAUCUGGAGGAACAUCAGUGGCGAAGGCGACUCCCUGGCCAAAGACUGACGCUCAUGUGCGAAAGUGUGGGUAGCGAACAGGAUUAGAUACCCUGGUAGUCCACACCGUAAACGCUGUCUACUAGCUGUUUGUGUAUUUAAUACGUGAGUAGCGAAGCUAACGCGCUAAGUAGACCGC